rnacentral:rRNA from 1 species
GAUGAACGCUGGCGGCGUGCCUAAUACAUGCAAGUCGAGCGAACGGACGAGAAGCUUGCUUCUCUGAUGUUAGCGGCGGACGGGUGAGUAACACGUGGAUAACCUACCUAUAAGACUGGGAUAACUUCGGGAAACCGGAGCUAAUACCGGAUAAUAUUUUGAACCGCAUGGUUCAAAAGUGAAAGACGGUCUUGCUGUCACUUAUAGAUGGAUCCGCGCUGCAUUAGCUAGUUGGUAAGGUAACGGCUUACCAAGGCAACGAUGCGUAGCCGACCUGAGAGGGUGAUCGGCCACACUGGAACUGAGACACGGUCCAGACUCCUACGGGAGGCAGCAGUAGGGAAUCUUCCGCAAUGGGCGAAAGCCUGACGGAGCAACGCCGCGUGAGUGAUGAAGGUCUUCGGAUCGUAAAACUGUGUUAUUAGGGAAGAACAUAUGUGUAAGUAACUGUGCACAUCUUGACGGUACCUAAUCAGAAAGCCACGGCUAACUACGUG